GAUGAACGCUGGCGGCGUGCUUAACACAUGCAAGUCGAGCGAGUGAGUUCUUCGGAACGAUCUAGCGGCGGACGGGUGAGUAACACGUGGGCAACCUGCCUCAUAGAGGGGAAUAGCCUCCCGAAAGGGAGAUUAAUACCGCAUAACAUCAUUGAAGGGCAUCCUUCGAUGAUCAAAGGAGCAAUCCGCUAUGAGAUGGGCCCGCGGCGCAUUAGCUAGUUGGUGAGGUAACGGCUCACCAAGGCGACGAUGCGUAGCCGACCGGAGAGGGUGAUCGGCCACAUUGGGACUGGGACACGGCCCAGACUCCUACGGGAGGCAGCAGUGGGGAAUAUUGCACAAUGGGGGAAACCCUGGUGCAGCAACGCCGCGUGAGUGAUGACGGCCUUCGGGUUGUAAAGCUCUGUCUUUGGGGACGAUAAUGACGGUACCCAAGGAGGAAGUCACGGCUAACUACGUGCCAGCCGCCGCAAUAA
rnacentral:rRNA from 1 species